AGUGAACGCUGGCGGCAGGCCUAACACAUGCAAGUCGAACGGCAGCACAGUAAGAGCUUGCUCUUACGGGUGGCGAGUGGCGGACGGGUGAGGAAUACAUCGGAAUCUACUUUUUCGUGGGGGAUAACGUAGGGAAACUUACGCUAAUACCGCAUACGACCUACGGGUGAAAGCAGGGGAUCUUCGGACCUUGCGCGAUUGAAUGAGCCGAUGUCGGAUUAGCUAGUUGGCGGGGUAAAGGCCCACAAAGGCGACGAUCCGUAGCUGGUCUGAGAGGAUGAUCAGCCACACUGGAACUGAGACACGGUCCAGACUCCUACGGGAGGCAGCAGUGGGGAAUAUUGGACAAUGGGCGCAAGCCUGAUCCAGCCAUACCGCGUGGGUGAAGAAGGCCUUCGGGUUGUAAAGCCCUUUUGUUGGGAAAGAAAAGCAGCAGGUUAAUACCCCGCUGUUCUGACGGUACCCAAAGAAUAAGCACCGGCUAACUUCGUG
rnacentral:rRNA from 1 species